CCUACGGGAGGCAGCAGUAGGGAAUAUUGCACAAUGGGCGGAACCCUGAUGCAGCAACGCCGCGUGAGUGAAGACGGUUUUCGGAUCGUAAACUUCUGUUCUAAGUGAAGAAUGAGUACGAGAGUGAAGGAGCAAUCCACUGCUGACUACUUACCAGCAGCCGCGGGAAUACGUAGUUGGCAAGCGUUGUCCGGAAUUACUGUGUGUAAAGUGAUCGGAGGCGGGAAGGCUAGUGAGCUGGGAAGACUGCGGGGUUAAAUUGUAGAAAGCAGUUGAAACUGGUUUUCUUGAGUGAAGGAGAGGUUGGUGGAAUUCCGGGUGUAGCGGUGAAAUGCGUAGAUAUUUGGAGGAACACCGGUGGCGAAGGCGGCCAUCUGGGUUUUAACUGACGCUGAGGCUCGAAAGUGUGGGGAGCAAACAGGAUUAGAUACCCCAGUAGUC
rnacentral:rRNA from 1 species